rnacentral:tRNA from 1 species
GUUGCCUUGGCAGAGUUAUGCAUUGGACUUAGGAUCCAACAAUGUGGAUUGUGAUCUCCACAGGUAAUA